rnacentral:rRNA from 1 species
UGCACACAGGUGCUGCAUGGCUGUCGUCAGCUCGUGUCGUGAGAUGUUGGGUUAAGUCCCGCAACCGAGCGCAACCCUUGCCAUUAGUUGCUACGAAAGGGCCACUCUAAUGGGACUGCCGGUGACAAACCGGAGGAAGGUGGGGAUGACGUCAAGUCCUCAUGGCCCUUAUAGGUGGGGCUACACACGUCAUACAAUGGCCGGUACAGAGGGUAGCCAACCCGCGAGGGGGGAGCCAAUCCCACAAAGCCGGUCGUAGUCCGGAUCGCAGUCUGCAACUCGACUGCGUGAAGUCGGAAUCGCUAGUAAUCGCGGAUCAGCAUGUCGCGGUGAAUACGUUCCCGGGUCUU